UAAAGCAUGCCAGGAAAGACAAUAGCCCUGUAUUUUGUACAAUCUUUCAACAGUAUCUUUGAAACAAGCAAUUUCUUCUUCUGGCAAAGUCCAAAAUGUGAUGCGAACCUUUAAACUCAGUAAUAAACCUCAACAGUGCUGCCUGAGAUCUGCUGUUAUUAAGAAUUGAUGUAGCCAUCUGGCUACAUCUAUCUAUUGUUAAACAUGAUGUUUAUAUGAUGUCAUAAUGUACCUGUGCCUCUAUAAAGAAAGAAAUGUAGUUUUCUGCACCAGUGAUCUUAUAUUUUGAAAGAUAGCACAGUCAUUUUCCACCCUUUUAUGAUUAACAUAUCCUUCUUUAGCCACCCUCCAGCAAAACUGCGAGCUCUUCAAAUGUUACGUCUGUUAAUUACUAUCUAAUAUUUAUGUACUCAUUUUCUUUUAUUCUCUUUCCUGGACCUGGAAUCUCCCAGGGGCCCUCAGGUCACAGGCUUACAUCCGAGGGGUAGAAUAUACCUUUUGUUCACCAGUGGUGGUGUGAAGCUCUUAAUAUUCAUUUUUAAGGGAGCAUCAAGCUAUACUACACUGCACUGCUAGGAGCUGGUGGAAGUGUAGGGCAGUGCUGGCUCCAUGUUCCUGUCCUUUUCUUACACGACAGCAGUGUCAUAGUGACAAAGGACCAGGCAGGAUGUAGCUGACCUGGCCAGCACCAUUUGUAAACAAAAGUUUGGUACGCAUUUUUCAAGCAGGCCUGACAUGGGUUGUGCUUCCUGUUAUUUCCACCAGGUCUGAGGGUGUGUAGAUGGAACCUGGGAAUCACAAAACCAUGGAAUAGUUGAGAUUGGAAGGGACCUCUGGAGGUCAUCUGGUUCAACCCUUCCGGUGGAGGAAAAUCUCUACCUGUGGAUGUAAGCCUUAAGCAAUUGCUUUUGCUAAGGUAUGCACAAAAUACCCAAGUUCUGUGGGUCCUUUGUUCAGGGACACAGGUCACUGAUUAACCUGAAGCAGCGCCCAGGCAGGUCUUGAUGUGUGGCAGAUCUUGACUGGCCUCUGGGCUCUUCAGGACAGUCUGAGAGUGAGCAUGGGCUGGGCAGCCAGCAGCGUAAGUACAAUUUUAAUUUGACUCUCAACACACAGAGACAGAUUUGGCUGCUUCCUCUGCUCCUCACUGCUCAUGAAGUCACUCUUCCUUUGCAAAGACCUGUUCUUGCCUCAGUAAAUACAGCUUUCCACUGCUGAUGUUUAUUUUCCUUGGGGGGUCUCCUCAUGCACUGUCACCUUUCCCUUUUUAAUUUCAGCCUCUUAUGGACUACAUACUGGUUUGCAAAACCUGCCAAUCUGAAUGAGUAGCCCAGGGAAUACAAGUUCCUAUGGGAUAAAUGCUCCAACUUAUGACUCAUGGACUAGAAUUGUAAAAGCUGAUGCAUAAAAGGCCCUGGGCACUAGCAUACCACUAGUGUUUUAAAUUUAUCUUCUGCAAAUGAGAAAGAUGUUUUUCUUCAAGACAUACAAAAAUAUACCAGCUCAGUACAAUCUAAACGAAGUUAUGUGGGAACACUGCUCUGCACUGUAUUGCCAAUCUCUUGUGUUUAUGUAUAAUUUUCCAUGGGGCAUUCCUGUCUGUAAAACUACUCAGAAAGCUUUCCUGUGGACUCCUUUUGACUGGCAGGAAUACUAGCAGCCCUAAGUGUCAUGUUGUUCAUUUGUGCAGGGUGUUUUUACAGCUAUUCAAUAGCAUCUGCGAGCCAUUUGCUGGCUGAACCCUGGCUCUUCAGGUAGAAGUUGACACGUGAGCCUCAGCCUGCCCGGUGGGGGUCAGGAGGCAGUAGUGAGCCCUUGGGCUGGUCUCCCUUCAGCUGCAAAACUGAGUUAAAAAUGGUGACUUUUCAUAGUAAUGAAAGAGACUAUAGUCUUUUUACUCCCCUUCUUUUCUCUGCCCCUCCACGCUUUUUGUGCUGGAGGGAAAGGGAAGGGGAAGAAGCUCUUUGCAUCCAUUUGUAAGGCAGAUGAUGUGCCUAUUUCUUGACAUUUCUCAUAUGCCUUAAAGUGAAGCAAGGAAAAAGUGGAAAAGUUCAACACUGAGCAAUGCUAGACACUGAUGUUCCUGCACAAAGGGUGACAAAACCACAUUUUUUUAGAGUUAUUCGCAUCUAAUCCUUGGGCAAAAUUACUCUGUAUGACUCACUCAUUCCUUUGUUUUGUCACACUGAGUCCAAUGUCACAUGGGCUUUGAAGAAUAAACCUUCCAUAGAGGUUUGGUAAUAUAUAGAAGGGCCAAAGGGGUUGUAAAAGAAUAAAAGCACUUUAUAAAAAGGCACAGACUACAGAAAAUGUUUUAAAAUACUGUACAACCUCCAGAUCAUCAAAAAUAUUCUAAACAUUUCCUAAAGGCCAGUGUCUGUUUUCUCAGCCAGCAGAAGAGUUCGUGUGGGAUUUCAGCUGUACCAAAAAUAAAGUAAGAGUCCAGAGUGGCUCUGGAUCCAGCGUACAGAAUCAGUAUCUUUGGCAGAUGCAGAACUGAAACCUGAAAGUGGAAAUAUCUUCGAUCUGAGGUUCCUAUUUUGGCCAUCUGUACUUGUGAGAUUAACUGAACUGUUGUUGUGUUUUAGAGUUAAAGACAUUAGGAAGAUACUGGUUACAUUUCAUGUUUAAAAUCACAGCUAAUAUGAACCCAGUACUGGCCUUGAAACUACAGUGAAAAGUUGAAAAUGAGCAAAAGGAAAUGAUGAAACAUUCUUAUCUUCUCAAUUAUUUAUUCACUGUUUUUCCCCUUCAUUUUCACUCCUGGGAUAGUAAUGAGUUUUACGAAUGUAAGGUGUCAGCUAUAGGCUUUUCUGUUGAAACCUCUGAAUUUAUGGCUCCUCUGGGCAUUGCAGGCAUGGAUAAUGCAUAAUUUACAAACAGACUUGAAACUUUCAUCUUCCUUUUCCCACUCCUUUUCAGAGCUUUUCGUUUGUGAAGUGAUUUGUUUUGCUGUAGUGGAAACCAUAUGCUCUUCUGAAUCUCAGUGGAGUGUAGAAAUUCUGCAGCGUUACCAGAUGUUGCAGAAGAAACUUCACCUGACCCAGGAUUACAUGAAUGUGUCUCCUUCAGUCAAAAACAUCUUUCUAAGGGGGUAGCUUAUUUUUUUUUUCCUGUUAUUUGGUGGUAGGUGACAUCAAAUCACAGUCAGUGAUGAUGUAGGCACAGUCUCAGUAUUAGAUACACAAGGUCUGUGCUUUGUUUCUGGCGGGCCAGAGCUGGAAGCUUUAGUGAGACAUCCCUCAAGAACAUGGGUCAGUAGUUUGUAAAUGCUAGUCCUGCUUCUGGCAUUGACUCUACUUUGUCACUAAGGAAUAUUAGACUUAUUGUGUCAGACAAAGCACGUCUUGUUCAGACUUCGAUUGACCAUGGCCACACACUCACCCAUGACCAGGUGCUGCAGGGAAGACUGGAAGAACAGUUAAAAGAAAUUACUCUGGCUGAGCUGCUCUCUUCUAUUCAGUAGUUAGUGUACGACUUGAACUAAAAGGCUUUAGGCUCUCCCUAAUAACAUGCCUAUAAAGGAUAUUUAAUAAAACACUGGAUGCUCUUUUUAUUCUAAAUAUGCCUUUGGUCUUGUGUGAGUCUCCGUGACUGCUUUUUCUUGUGGCAGCAAAUUGGAAGGUGUAGGUGCUCAAGGGCAGGGGCUGAACUCUUCCCUUCACCUGAAAUGAAAGAGUUGAGAAGGCAACCUCAAACCCAGAGCUGCUGAGGGGAGACUGGUAUGGAUUGGACACAAAAAAUGGGCAGAAGGUCUCUGUUUCAUAGGUAUCUUUUGUCAACUCCUUAGCUGUGGGCUGUGGAUCCCCAGAUGUCUGCAGACUACAGCUAAAACCCAGGGAUUUGUCAGCAAAGCCUGCGGGAAGUGGAGUCAGCACCUUCACCUGCUGAAGUGAAGAGGUUUCCCCGGUGACUGAUGUUCAUUUCCACUGGUGUACAACUGAACAAGUUUUUGAUCCAAAGAGCAAGAGAACAUUUCACUACAACUAUGCUUGAACCUUUGACACUGGAAACUGAGGAAAUUAAAGCAGCUGCUACCAGUUUCUCCUGAGCAAGGAAGACGUAAAACCUGCAGAAACACAGACUGGUCUUUUCCCUUGUAUUGUUGUUUUCUAUAAAGGAAAAAAAAAGAAAAAAGAAAAAGCUAUUUUUGGAAGUGGGAGAAUAUCAGUGUUUGCAUUUCUGUCUAUAAUCCAGUGUGUGGCUGAUAAGAGGCUUGUGUGUUCCUAGCAAACUCUAUGACUUCAGAAGUCAGAGCUCGGUUGGAACGAGGCUGAUCUCUUUCACUGCCUUUGUCCUGUGCUGAGCUGUGCCCUGCCAGUGAAUUGCACAGUAUCUUAAAAUGACCUUUCAUUUAGGCUGUAUAGAGAUACUUUUAGUCAACUGGUAGGAGCAAGUGACCCCCGACCUCCUGAUUUUCACUGCCUGCAUGGAGUCAUUUUCUGCUGCUGAUGGGUGGUCCCAGUAGACAGUGGACACAGAUGUCGGCUCCUGAUAAAUCCAGAGUUUGGCUAAUGGGAGAAGACCUGUCACUCGCUUUGCUGGAGAGUGAAAUGUGAAAGCUGCACACAAGUUUCUGCUGGCUUUAAACUCCAUUGCUGGCCAUGAAGACUGAAACCACCUGACGAUGGUCCCAUGGGACUUGGACCUGUUCUACAAAUAUCACCCUGCUGAGGGGCUUCAGAAACAGCCUCCAGCACUCUUCGCUUGAUAACUGGGAUUUGGGAUCAGCUAUGGGGUGCAUGAUUUUCCUGUUCGCUCUGGUAACUGCUUUAUGUCUCUGGCUGAAAGCAAUCAUGACACCGUCCAUCUCACAGUGAGUCAGCCUAGUUUAUUCGUCAUUAAGAUUUUCCUGCACUGGAAACCUUCACUUGAGCACCCGUUCUUGAAGCAAGUUCUGCUUUUUUAGGUUGUAGCACCUUUCAGAGAGGUUAGCCAAACCUCUGUCAUCGCUGGCUGGGAUGGCUUAUUCAACUGCACCCAUCCCUCUUGCCCAUCUUCUUCUUGCUCACUUCCUUUCUUCUGGUGCCAGUAAUUUCUAUAAAUGACUGUAUGCUGCUCAGUGGCAAUAAAUAUUAAUAAAGGUAUAUCACUUUACUGCUGAAGUAGUGGGAGAAGAGGUGAGCAACGUAUAUUUUACUUCUUCAGAGGCUUGGCUCCCUUUGGCAUGCCUUUCCCUCCCAGAAGAUUUGCAAAAUUACACUCUGGUUUCCCUUCCCAGAUGAACUACAUCCUCACAUCUGUCUGGCUCUGCUCCAAGCUGCUCCAAGUCAGUAGGAGCUGGGAGAAAAGUUUAACAUGCAAAUUGAAAAUGUCAAAUUUUGGGUUUAUUUAUUGCUAGUUUUUGUAGAAAGAAGGAAGUAAAAAGACUUUCUGUCAGAAUAGUUCACUGUUAUUGUUUUGCUUUGAGUAAAUGAACUUCUGGGUUGCAGUAAAGGGAGUGCUGAGGUGACUAAGAGAGAUGAAAAGGGGAGUGCUAUGAGAACAAACUCAGUCAUGUUGGGAUAGUGUGGCAUCGAAAUGAUUGAACUUUUGGACACUAUAAGCUGAUGGAGAAGAGACAACUGCUGAAACAUGUGUGUUGCUACCUUGAAGCAGUUGGGGUAAGACUUGAGAAGCAAAGGUUUUGGAGUACCAUGAGAUACCAAAAUGAAAAAGCUAUUAAAGGCAAUAUCCUGAGGGGAAGACAGGAAGAGCCAAGUGCCGUAAUGCUUUGGAAGUACAGGAAACAGCUGAAAAGCCUCUCUCAGAAAGCAGAAUCAUUUCAUGAUUACGCAUUAUGUUAAAAUGGAGAACAUUUGCUUAUGCAAAUUAAACAUAGUCUUUGGCAGACACAGCUUCAAUGAAGGGAUAUUGGGCUGUCAUAUGUGUUAUGCUGAGACUAACAUGCAUUUUAAUGACAUGGAGAAAGAAUAUUUUACACAGAUAUUGUUUUGAUCUGGGCAAACCAGAAGAAGACCAGAAAUGCAUGGCUAAAGCUAAGCAACAAAUAAUUAAUUAGCAAUUCUAUGUCAGAAGGAAAACAUACCAGGAAGAGAAACUAAUCCAAUGAAGUGUUUGAGCAGCUCAUGAUGCUACUGGUAGUAUUUGUGCUCCUUUGGUGGAGCAAAGUAUUCAUAUAGAGGCUCCUAGCGAUGUGAAAGUCAUUCAUAUAUUCAUAUCACAUAUGAGCACCAGUGUGCAAAGAUUAGAGGAGGUAAUAAAAAGUUCCAGAGUUGAUGUACAGUGUUGGUCAAUGUGAAGCUAAAUUGUCCAUAUCUGCUACCACUGUAUGUAUUUGUUCAGUUAUCUUCCGGAUGUGUUGUAAACCUGGAGACAAGCAGUCUGAUAUACCAAUAAAGAAAAAAAUUGCCAGUUCCCACUUACAAUUGAGUGCCAACACUGAGGCAGAGAAUAAGGCCAUGGUCUUAGCUUGGUGUUGUGAAGAAGUUCAUGACCUUAUUUGUAGAAGCUGAAAUGUUAACUUAAAUUGACCGUAAAUCACUUACUUACCAAUUUGAGUUUGUCCAGCACUCUGACUAGAAGAGAGAGAUAUUUUUUAACUGUAGAGAUGUGAUUUGUGUAUCUAAUACAAUCUCAGUGGGGAGAUAUCAAUGGCAGGCACCUAAAUGGGACAUUUGAUAAAAACUGAGAGAAGUCCAAAGUAUGCAUCACUUGGAAAAAUAUCCCAUGAUUUUAACUGAAAUAUGGGUUACGAUAUCUGUGAUGAAAACUUGUAUAAAGUCAUUAGCACAAGAGCAGUGUUCUUUCAGCAUCCCUCACCCAUUCAGAGGAGCAACUCCUCAUAAUAAAGGGGAUUUUCUCAAAGACAGCAGAAGCAAAGUGAUUCAUAAGGAGUUGAAGAAAAAAUCUUGAAAAAGAUAGAUGAAAGUUACUUAGGGAUGGAAAAAGAGAUUUCCGGUGAAUAAUGAUACUGAGAAAGUUGCCAGGGCUUGUUGCAUAUGUCAAAAAUGCAGACCACACUGAGUAGAAAGGUUUAAUUUUGGUGUUCCAGGCAAAAAUCAGCACUUUGCUAUUGAUAGCUGCUUACAGAAACUGUGGCAACGGUUUAAAAAAAGUCAUAAAAUAAAGAUAGUUCUGAAAAAUUCAAAUAUGUUUGAACAAAAUUACUUAUCGAUUGAAAUUUCAAUAAGAUAUUUUAUUCCGUUUUUAGCGUCUUUUAUAUUUCGACAGGACUAUUGUUGCUGCCGUUAAAUAGGAUCCCUUACUUAAAGAGUAGCUCCUGAAAAGAUUCAGUGGGGCAAAGUCUACUGAGACCACUGCAUUUAACUAAAUCUGUAUUUGAAAUAUACAAGGAAGAGUACAAUUAUAUAUUUCUCUGAUCCUGAAGUCUUCACUCAUGGAAGUAGAAUAACUUAAAUCAAUGAGACUAUUCACAUGAAAAAGCAUUAAUCACAUGAGUAAUGAGAAAGGGUUGAAGGGUCAUUCUUAAAGUUGCUAUGAAAUGCUGCAGUUGCUUCACAUGGCCCAACUAUCAUUAUAUUUCCCCUGUUACUGCUUUUAAUGCAGUAAGAUAAAUUAAACUAGGGUGAUACUGACCCCAUGCUGGUUUGUGCUCUGUUCGAACCCCCUCUGAGUGAUGUCUUGAGGACUGAAGUGGGUGUAAGAGGAGUGCAGGCCAAAGUCUACAGCCAUCCCUCUACAUAUGGUACAUUUCACCCUCUGUUGUCAUCAGAUUUCCUUUCUCAAAAAAAUUGUCACAGUGCCCGACAGGGAGUUUCAAUUUCCCACCCACUCUUCACAAACCAGUUUGAGUAUAUCUGUUAUCUCACGCUAUGGCACACAGGGUGCAGAAAUAUUUAAAACUAUCUGUGACUAUCAGGACAGCUUGCGGUGUCAUCUUCAGUUCUUCCACAUAUGUCAAUAUUAAUUACUUCCUUUCCCAGUCCCUGCAAAUGUAAGUCCACAUCUUUCAAAACAGCAUCGGCCUUGAGGCCAAAUACUCUCCCAGCUGUUUUCUACCCUCUGCAUCUUCAGCCAGCAGGAUGUCAUUUCUACUGCCCAGGGACUGUCCCUACUUAUCCAUGAUGCAAUUGCCAGAAAUCUCCAAUAGCCUUGAAGCUGAAUGAUCCAGCAAACCAUUGCUUCUCUUCUGAAGGGACAGUUGUGUCCAUAACAAAACCAUCUGCUUUUCUUGUAUUGAGAAGCACGGCAUACUGAAUGGUUUGCAUUAAUGGUAUUUUUUUUUAUCAGCAUAGGAAAAUAUUUCCAAGACUUUAAUUUUUUUUGUUUUACUGUUACCUCUGAUAUAUGCUUUAUGCAUCUUUUUAAAAAAAUUUUAAUAGGUAUUAUUGUCUUUGCUCACACCAUAGGAAGAGCCAAAGAGAAGUGAGAAACUUUGGCUUUGGAGUUUCAUAUUUUCUUUUGAAGCAUGUGGCCACACCUGUAGACCCAGUACAUGCUGUUGUCCUGCAUCAAGUAGUUAAGUUCCAUGUACCUUCAUUCACAGUCUUUUUGGGCAAAUUUUUGCUCAAAAUUAUAUAUUCAGUUAAUAGAAUUUUGUGAGCUUGUACCUACAAAACAAAUAGGUUGUCAGCAGAAACAAGUUAUUAAGCAAAAUGAAAGACAGUAUGAUGGAGGAGAAGUGGUUCUCUAGUCCAGCUAAGCAAAAGGAGGCUAUGAGUAUGCAUACUUAUGAGAAAUUCAUUAAAAAAACAGACAUCAGAAAAGGCAUGACUGAAUCUAGAAUUAAAAAAACUAGUGAGAGCUUCCCUCAUCUGUCCUCCUGGCAGUGAUCCAGUGCAUGAAAAAGCACUGUCCUGCACAGCAUCAGCACUGCUUGAAAGCAAAACCCAGGCCACAGAGAGCGGAUUCAGACAUCAUUGCUUUCACAGUGAAAAGUGGGAAAAGGUCAGCUAUAGGAUCUUCACAUGAAAAACAAUUUUCUUAUACUUUUGGCUACAUUCAUUCAGCUAGGUGAACUGUCCAAAAGUGAACUAGUUAAUUCAGAAAAAAAGUAAGAUUAUUCCAAGUCUUGCAUGUUUUGUGCAUCCGGAUGGACUCUGGAGCCUUCAUCACUUCUGAGUUUGUCAGCAAAGAUAUUGACCAUCAUGAGAAGGAGACUGACACCCUCUCCAUGCCUUUCCUUUAUACCCUGGAUCAGGAAAACGCUUUAUAAAAUUUUUGGCUGCAGUUGGGUAUUCACACUAUACUCGUGUAAGCACAUGCUUGUAUAUUUCUCUAAUUAAGAACAUUUUCCUGAAGCAAGGUCUGGGAGCACAUAUGCCCUACCUUGGAUCAGAAAGGCCAGGUUGAGUGGAGCAAGUUAAAACUGUCAUUAUUUGUUGUUUUGAAAAAUUUUCAACAAAAAACGUGUUAUUAUGGCUUAGUUACCUCCCUCAGCAAGGAAAGGUGAGAUAUGAUUACCUAUGUGGCAAACAUAGGAGACCUGAGCUCAAAUACCUGGUUUGGUAUGUCCCUGCAUGAUUUUGGAGACAUCGGCAAGUGUGGACAUUCUAGAAAUCCCUGAACAAACUGUCACUGCACUAAUCUGGUGUGUGAGUUAGCUGGGGAAAUGCAGAACUUGGCGCAAUCUAAGAACCUGGGUAAAUUAGUUAGGCUUAUAACGUAUCUUUCUUCUACAGAGUGAUGAUGUUUACCCACCUGUUUGUUUUCUUGUCUUUUUACAAUAAAACAUUUUGUUUC